GCCCCUUGUGGUGGCUUCAGGCCUGUCCGGUCCACCGCGCCUCCUUCCUUCCCCGAGUAACCCCUGGGACUGCAGGGCGGAGUGGCCAAUUGCGGCCGGGGGCGGACCCGGCGCUGCGAUUCAAGGUCACCUGUGCUCUGCUGAUCGCCAGACUCCCACGCAGGCCUUGGGCUCGCGAAAUGUGGACGCCCACGGCACCCACUUCCAGGUAUCUCGGAGCAAGGGAAUCCGGUUGCCCCAGAGAAUCAAUAACCCGGAUUUGCUCUGACUGUGUCCUAGUGCAGGCGGCCCGGGAGUGGGGCUAGUGAAAGUAGGAGUGGGUAGGAGAGAGGGAUAAAGGGGACUCCGCCAGGAACGCCCUCACCCCCGUGUGCACACCCCCCACGACCAACCCCACAGCGCAGAGGAGACCCCAGUACACCUGGAGUAGACAUUCCCUCCUGGGAUGAGACCCUGUCCCCAGCCAGCUUUCAACCUGGAGCUGACGUCCCCCACGCCUUGGCCAGGUAGCUUUCAUGGUGAGGACAAGGUGGUUCCCCCAUGGGCAAAAGAUACCUAUGUCCAUGGUGCAGUUGGUACACCCCGUGGAGAGAUGGUAGAAGAGUGGAGGAGGCUCCCAGGCAGAGAAAACCACAGAUGAAGAGGGCAGAAAGAGGUCAGGACUGGUUUCGUACGUUGGUUCUUUGCUAUUACUCUGGUGUGGUUUAAGCCCCAAGAACGCAGGGCCUGGGGUGGGGAGCCAGUACUACUGCACCUGCAUUCCUAGGCUUGUUGAGGCAGAUUCAAAGCAGCCUCCACUGUGUAGGCCUGGCUGGAGGUGGGUGGGAGCAGGCAUCUGCAAGCAGGGCAGAGCCUAGACUCCAGACCAGCACCAGAAAGCACCCUCAGAGGGGGACGCAUGACAGCUGGAGUGGAGGAGCCUGGAGCUCCAUGCAAGGCAGGCAGACCAGUCAGUGAGGUGAACGUGCUGCCCUGCGAUGGUGGCCCUAGAGGUCAGCUGAACCCAUGGGCCUCCCCAGUGUGCCAAGCAGAUGACAGGCAAGCUGGAGGCACACCCCAGCCCCUGCACCCUGUGAGCCCUGCUGGCCCCCAAAGCCUGCUUGGGCCUGAGAGGCCAGGACAGAGGUGGUCGGGGUGUGCAUGGGCACACCAGGAUCUGGGCUGCACCCCAGGCUGCAAUAGACCCCUCAUUGACUGGUGCCCUCAUCUGUGUGAGGGGGUUAAAGGGAAGACCUGGGACAGAAAGAGACAUGGUUUAGAAGGAACUGAAUCUACUCUCUUGUCCAGGUCGCCACAAGAAAGACAGCCGCAGAGCAAUACUGUGACAUCUGACCCCACCUCAUGCCCUCUAACCUUGCCCCCCCACACACUGUGAGCUGCUCAUGUGACCUAUCUCAUCCUGGGCCCCCUUUCACUGAAUGUGGCUACCCCCAGCCCUUCUUGGGGUGAGCAAGGUGCUCACCAGCUCCCCAAAAGACAGGGAUUGGACCCUGCAGCAGGUGAGUAGGACCCAAUCCCCAUGGAGGCUGCUGGCCUCAUCCAGAUGACUGCCUGCCAAGUGGCAGGUAUCCCCUCCGCCACCAUGGUGCUACUGCCAAACUCCUAGCCCACUGUACCCAGCCUGGGGUUUAGACCAUCAUAGCACCAUCAAGAUGUAGGAGCCCACCCCUUCAUAUGCAGAACAGCUGUGGGAAGCAAUCAGUGGUCCCACUUCAGUCCAGGACCCCCAACAGAAGCCUGAGCCUCGAGGUGGCCUCCCAUUACGAUCAUUCUGCCCACCCCCAAAAGCCCCUAGGGACUGUCUACCUUCUCAUUUCCACCGCCCCCCUCCCCCAACACUGUCUCUGCCUCCUAACUCAGUCCAGGAUCUAUCGAAAGAGAAUAAAACCCCACCCACACCUAUCACUACCUGAUGUUUGCACUCCAGCCUACCUGGGUUCUGCACUCCAAGCCCUCUCACUUUCUAACAAGGGUCACCUCAGCUGCACCCUCUCUUCUGUGUUCACCCCAGGGGCUGACUCCUGUCAGCUCACAAAUUCGUCCUCUAAGGGCUCUGUCCCUGCAGCACCCCAGCUGCUCUGCUCCCCCUGGGGAUACCACUACUCAAGGUGUCCAUCUCCUACUUCUGCUCACUCCCAGCCUUCACCUGACCCCACUCCACAGCAGAACAAUAAAGGCCUGAAGGCCCAGUGCUUGGUCCCCCCUGGGAGCCUCCUACAUCUGCUGGCCCUGGGAGGUAUUUUGCUGCCUGCCUUACCACAUUUUCAUCUCUGUCUGAGUGUUGAUAUGCUGGGUGGUUCUGCU
rnacentral:lncRNA from 1 species